rnacentral:rRNA from 1 species
AUUGAACGCUGGCGGCAGGCCUAACACAUGCAAGUCGAACGAGUGGCGGACGGGUUAGUAAUGUCUGGGAAACUGCCUGAUGGAGGGGGAUAACUACUGGAAACGGUAGCUAAUACCGCAUACCAUCAGAAGUGCCCAGAUGGGAUUAGCUAGUUGGGGGGGUAACGGCUCACCAAGGCGACUAUCCCUAGCUGGUCUGAGAGGAUGACCAGCCACACUUGAACUAAGACACGGUCCAGACUCCUACGGGAGGCAGCCGGGGGGAAUAUUGCACAAUGGGCUCCAUCCUGAUGCAGCCAUGCCGCGUGUAUGAAUAAGGCCUUCGGGUUGUAAAGUACUUUCAGCGGGGAGGCGUUACCCGCAGAAGAAGCACCGGCUAACUCCGUGCCAGCAGCCGCGGUAAUAC